rnacentral:rRNA from 1 species
CCCCGGGCUUAACCUGGGAACUGCAUUUGUGACUGGCGAGCUAGAGUAUGGCAGAGGGGGGUAGAAUUCCACGUGUAGCAGUGAAAUGCGUAGAGAUGUGGAGGAAUACCGAUGGCGAAGGCAGCCCCCUGGGCCAAUACUGACGCUCAUGCACGAAAGCGUGGGGAGCAAACAGGAUUAGAUACUCUGGUAGUCCACGCCCUAAACGAUGUCAACUAGUUGUUGGGUCUUCAUUGACUUAGUAACGUAGCUAACGCGUGAAGUUGACCGCCUGGGGAGUACGGUCGCCAGAUUAAAACUCAAAUAAAUUGACGGGAGUG